GAUGGCUGGAUGGCAUCACUGACUCGGUGGACGUGAGUCUGAGUGAACUCCAGGAGUUGGUGAUGGACAGGGAUGCCUGGCGUGCUGCAAUUCAUGGGGUCGCAAAGAGUCGGACAUGACGGAGUGACUGAACUGAACUGAACUGAAGAUAUAGAUGAGGAAAAUUCCUUAUACUUCUCUAACAUGUCACAGUUGUUUCUCAAUUUAAGGCAGUGGUUUUCCACUUUGACUGUAUACUAUAACUCCCUAGGAAGCUUUUUAAAAAAUACUGGAUCCAUCCUGGAUGCACACCCAGAGAUUCUGGUUUAACUGGACUAGGAUCUGGCCUGGGCAUUAGUUUUAAAAGUGUGAAGCAACCUGAUGGUGCACAACCCUGGGUGCAUAGUUUAUCAUUCCAUAUGGGUUUUUACACUUUACUUCAUAUGUAUGAAGCUUUAAACAUUACUGUUGGUCAGUCUUAAAAUUUUAUGUAAAUUGUGUGCUACUGAGUAUAGCCUUGGGAAGCUUGAUUUUUACCUAAGAUUGUUGUUAUGCAUCCCAGUUGAUACUUAGACCCCUGGUUCAUUCAUCCCAACUAUUAUAUUAACAGCUUAUUAAAACCUUACUUCUGCACCAUCAUUUUCUGCUCUCUUUUACUGCAAAAUUCAUGAGUAGUUAGUUGUUCAGGUCAAAGAUCUUGGAGUCAUCCUUGACUCCUCUUUUUUUUUUAUGUCCCAAAUUUAUUCAUUUGGAAAUCCCCUUAGCUCCAUCUUCAAUCUUCAAAUACAUCUGACAAUUUCUCACCACGUCUACCGCUACCACCAGCUUCCAGCAAUCAUUAUCUUUUGCUUGGACUAUUGCAAUAUCAUCCUAAAUGGUCUGCAUAGCUGAUCUUCUAUAAUCAAUCAUUGCAAAGCAAUCAGAAUAAUGCUGUAGGCAACACUCGUUCACAAAGGCGCAGCGCCAGCAUGACUAAGCACAGGCAAAGAGCACAGGAGUUCGAGCUAAAGGAGUAGAUCCAAUAAUGAGACAGGUUUGUUUUUCUCUUAGACAGUCACUCAUGUUGUUAAAG
ensembl:lncRNA